AGAGUUUGAUCAUGGCUCAGAGUGAACGCUGGCGGCAGGCCUAACACAUGCAAGUCGAACGGUAACAGGAAACAGCUUGCUGUUUCGCUGACGAGUGGCGGACGGGUGAGUAAUGUCUGGGAAACUGCCUGAUGGAGGGGGAUAACUACUGGAAACGGUAGCUAAUACCGCAUAACGUCGCAAGACCAAAGAGGGGGACCUUCGGGCCUCUUGCCAUCAGAUGUGCCCAGAUGGGAUUAGCUAGUAGGUGGGGUAACGGCUCACCUAGGCGACGAUCCCUAGCUGGUCUGAGAGGAUGACCAGCCACACUGGAACUGAGACACGGUCCAGACUCCUACGGGAGGCAGCAGUGGGGAAUAUUGCACAAUGGGCGCAAGCCUGAUGCAGCCAUGCCGCGUGUAUGAAGAAGGCCUUCGGGUUGUAAAGUACUUUCAGCGGGGAGGAAGGGAGUAAAGUUAAUACCUUUGCUCAUUGACGUUACCCGCAGAAGAAGCACCGGCUAACUCCGUGCCAGCAGCUGCGGUAAUACGGAGGGUGCAAGCGUUAAUCGGAAUUACUGGGCGUAAAGCGCACGCAGGCGGUUUGUUAAGUCAGAUGUGAAAUCCCCGGGCUCAACCUGGGAACUGCAUCUGAUGCUGGCAAGCUUGAGUCUCGUAGAGGGGGGUAGAAUUCCAGGUGUAGCGGUGAAAUGCGUAGAGAUCUGGAGGAAUACCGGUGGCGAAGGCGGCCCCCUGGACGAAGACUGACGCUCAGGUGCGAAAGCGUGGGGAGCAAACAGGAUUAGAUACCCUGGUAGUCCACGCCGUAAACGAUGUCGACUUGGAGGUUGUGCCCUUGAGGCGUGGCUUCCGGAGCUAACGCGUUAAGUCGACCGCCUGGGGAGUACGGCCGCAAGGUUAAAACUCAAAUGAAUUGACGGGGGCCCGCACAAGCGGUGGAGCAUGUGGCUUAAUUCGAUGCAACGCGAAGAACCUUACCUGGUCUUGACAUCCACGGAAGUUUUCAGAGAUGAGAAUGUGCCUUCGGGAACCGUGAGACAGGUGCUGCAUGGCUGUCGUCAGCUCGUGUUGUGAAAUGUUGGGUUAAGUCCCGCAACGAGCGCAACCCUUAUCCUUUGUUGCCAGCGGUCCGGCCGGGAACUCAAAGGAGACUGCCAGUGAUAAACUGGAGGAAGGUGGGGAUGACGUCAAGUCAUCAUGGCCCUUACGACCAGGGCUACACACGUGCUACAAUGGCGCAUACAAAGAGAAGCGACCUCGCGAGAGCAAGCGGACCUCAUAAAGUGCGUCGUAGUCCGGAUUGGAGUCUGCAACUCGACUCCAUGAAGUCGGAAUCGCUAGUAAUCAUGGAUCAGAAUGCCACGGUGAAUACGCUCCCGGGCCUUGUACACACCGCCCGUCACACCAUGGGAGUGGGUUGCAAAAGAAGUAGGUAGCUUAACCUUCGGGAGGGCGCUUACCACUUUGUGAUUCAUGACUGGGGUGAAGUCGAAACAAGGUAACCGUAGGGGAACCUGCGGUUG
rnacentral:rRNA from 1 species